GGAUAUAAGGGUGAUCUGGCUGCAGUAUUUGUCACGCCAUUGAUUACCAGGGUUUAUUCAGCUGAUCUGGCUGGCUAGGCGGGUAUCCCUUUCCUCCCUCACCACUCCAAUAUGUGUCCCUCCUGAAGCUGUGCCCUGGUCCAGGAGGAUGACCUUCCCCAUGGAGGAGAACUGUUCUUCUGCAGUCAAGAAUAUACAAGAAGCUAUUCCCACCUCCUAGAACCUCCAAACAAGCUCUCAAGGUCCAUUUGUAGGAGAACAUAGGGUAGUCAAGCUUCCAAGACUCCAGAAACAUCCAAAUGAGGCACUGCAUAUGACAGUCUGCUGCUUU
ensembl:misc_RNA 7SK 7SK RNA